UAUCCAUCAGUAUUCCCCACUGCCCAUUGAGACAGUCUGUGUCCCCUACUCCUUAGAGACCAAAGCAUACAGCACUCUUCUUAAAGACAAGGCGUUUGGAACUGUAGAUAUUGGAUUGGCCCCACUUUUUACAGCCCAAAACCAUCUUGAAGUGUGGCUUCCAUGUAGUGCUUUAUUAUUUUCCUCUCUUUUGUCAAAUUUUUGUUGAAUUAUUAAGUGCUUUUCAGGUUCCCAUAAUAGGCCACUGUUUCUUUUCUGUCAGGGUUUGCCGUUUUCCACGCGCAGUUCAAGCCCUUCUGGAUGACCCUUCUAGGUGCCUAAAUUGAAAUAUGGAGGCACGUUGCAGAACUGACAAGACAUAAAAAUGAGCAAGAGUUGCAGACCCCUUCACCCUUUUCCAUUGACUUUCCAAAGCAAUGAGAGUAUGGAAGGGACUGCAGAGAUUUUGGAGAGUGAUGUUUUCCAUCUUCCCUUGCUGUCCGUUGAGAGGACAAAAUUCGAA